rnacentral:rRNA from 1 species
UACGGGGGGGGCAAGCGUUGUUCGGAAUUACUGGGCGUAAAGGGUUCGUAGGUGGCCUGCUAAGUCAGACGUGAAAUCCCUCGGCUUAACCGGGGAACUGCGUCUGAGACUGGCGGGCUUGAGUGACAGGAGAGGAACGCGGAAUUCCAGGUGUAGCGGUGAAAUGCGUAGAUAUUGGGAAGAACACCUGAGGCGAAGGCGGGUUGCUGGGCCGACACUGACGCUGAGGCGCGAAAGCCAGGGGAGCAAACGGG